rnacentral:rRNA from 1 species
GAUUAGUGGCGAACGGGUGAGUAACACGUGGGCAAUCUGCCCUGCACUCUGGGACAAGCCCUGGAAACGGGGUCUAAUACCGGAUAUGACGCGUGACCGCAUGGUCUGCGCGUGGAAAGCUCCGGCGGUGCAGGAUGAGCCCGCGGCCUAUCAGCUUGUUGGUGGGGUAAUGGCUCACCAAGGCGACGACGGGUAGCCGGCCUGAGAGGGCGACCGGCCACACUGGGACUGAGACACGGCCCAGACUCCUACGGGAGGCAGCAGUGGGGAAUAUUGCACAAUGGGCGAAAGCCUGAUGCAGCGACGCCGCGUGAGGGAUGACGGCCUUCGGGUUGUAAACCUCUUUCAGCAGGGAAGAAGCGAAAGUGACGGUACCUGCAGAAGAAGCGCCGGCUAACUACGUGCCAGCAGCCGCGGUAAUACGUAGGGCGCGAGCGUUGUCCGGAAUUAUUGGGCGUAAAGAGCUCGUAGGCGGCUUGUCGCGUCGGAUGUGAAAGCCCGGGGCUUAACCCCGGGUCUGCAUUCGAUACGGGCAGGCUAGAGUUCGGUAGGGGAGAUCGGAAUUCCUGGUGUAGCGGUGAAAUGCGCAGAUAUCAGGAGGAACACCGGUGGCGAAGGCGGAUCUCUGGGCCGAUACUGACGCUGAGGAGCGAAAGCGUGGGGAGCGAACAGGAUUAGAUACCCUGGUAGUCCACGCCGUAAACGUUGGGA